UUUCCGUAGGUGAACCUGCGGAAGGAUCAUUAUCGUACAAUAUGUAAGGGGCUUGCGAGGGCUGUCGCUGACCCAAACGACGCGCACGCCCGACUGUGUCCUCUUGCAUCAUAAUCCAUCUCACCCUUUGUGCAUCACCGCGUGCUUACCCUUCGGGAUCAUCACGGAAGGCGGCUCGCGCUUUCACCCAACCCCCCCUUAUAAAAGUUAAGAAUGACCAAAUUUUUGCAAACAAUAAAAUUUUCAACAACGGAUCUCAUGGAUGCCGCAGCGAUGAAG
rnacentral:misc_RNA from 1 species